rnacentral:rRNA from 1 species
GAUGAACGCUGGCGGCGUGCCUAAUACAUGCAAGUCGAACGCUGGAGGCCGGAGCUUGCUCUUUCCUGAUGAGUUGCGCACGGGUGAGUAACGCGUAGGUAACCUCCCUGGUAUCGGGGGAUCACUAUUGGAAACGAUCUCUAAUACCGCAUAACCGUAUAUUUUGCAUUAUAUCUACUUAAAAGUUGCAAUUGCACCACUACCAGACGGCCCUUCGUGGUAUUAGUUAGUUGGUGAGUUACCGGCUCACCAAGGCGACGCUACAUAGCCGACCUGAGAGGGUGAUCGGCCAGACUGGGACUGAGACACGGCCAAGACUGCAAUGGGAGGCAGCAGAAGGGAAUCUGCGGCAAUGGAGGGAAGUAUGGCCGAGAAAGGCCGCGUGAGUGAAGAAGGAAUUCGGAUCGUAAAGCGAUGUUGUAAGGGAAGAACGAGUGUGAGAGUGGAAAGUUCACAAUGUGACGGGAUAUGACCAGAAAGGGACGGCUAACUAAGGG